rnacentral:ncRNA from 1 species
UGCAGUUAGGUGACGGCCUAACUGUAGGGAUGUGCGUUGAAUAACAUCUUCGUCCACUGAUGUAAAACGGCGUGUCACAGGUGGAGCUGAGGCCACCCUUCUGGUAACAGUAGGGAGCCACAUCACUCAAUCCAGAGUGGGACACGGCAGGGAGGGAACGAAUGCCAAUAACUGGAGUGAGUACCCCAAACUUGUAGGUAAUCCAGAGUCCUACCAUCCCCCGA